UCAAAGAAGAGGUUAGCCGCGACUGCCCUUGCCCCUUGCGACAGCCAUGGUUGUUUCUAAACCAUAAAUUACAAAACAUAUUUAAAUAACCAUAAAUUAUGUAUAAAUAGAUGUUUUUGAACCACACACCUAUCCUAUCCUAUCCUAUCCUAUACUCUUAUAAAGGAAAACUCCACUACCAUAUUUCUCUAUGAUUUUAUAAAGCCACGUCAUCAUGGGGGCCCUACCAAUUUUCUUAAGCCAUAUCACCCGAUGGCCACCACCCUCUUAUUCUUAUCCCAGUACUCACGCAAAGGCUUUAGCAAGCCUGCACGAGGCCAACAAUCAUUUGCCUCCUCUAUUCCUUCAGAACACGAAGUGGACAGGCAUUACAACAAUCGAGUCAUGUCCACUGAAUGUAGCAUGCACCCCUACAUCUUCCCUGCCAUCACUGCUCAUCUGUUAAGUGAUCGUAUAUACAAUUAACCCCAAUGCUGAUGCAGAGGUAGCCGGGGAAUUCACCAUUGCAUCAUGCGGCCAUGGAGGAGCAGUCCCGCCCAUCCACCUCCGUGCAGUGUGAUGCCCGAGAUGGCCACGAUGGAGGCACGUCGAGGUGCUCCAACUCAGAGGUGUGCAUGCUAUUGCACUCAGUGACUGCCUGUAACCUCUCGCGCUGACCGGCGCUGAUGCGCGCAAUGCUCCUGCAGGCCGCCACUGCUGCCGUUCUUGCCUGUGUCCUCCAUGCACCGCCCACAGGUGCAGCCCACUCAUCUCUGUGCUGUGUAUUAACUCGCAAUAUAUACUCUCAUCCACACGUUAGUGACCCUGUUCUCUUUUGAUGAAGUUAAAGAUUGAAGAUCAGAGUGGUGCCUCUCUGCUGUUUUGCGAGCUAGAGUGAUGCCUUUUAUUUAGUUCAUUUACGAUGGACUACUGAUGCAUAUUUAAAUCAAAUAUUAGUAGUCAUGGUACAAAUAUA